rnacentral:rRNA from 1 species
CCUUGUUGAUCCUGCCAGUAGUUCAUAUGCUUCGUCUCAAAGAUUAAGUCCGAUGCAAUGUGCAAGUAUGAAAACUAUUCGAACUGUGAAACUGCGAAUGGCUCUUUAACUCAGUUAAAGGUUUGUUUGAUGGUACGUGCUACUUCGGUUAACCGUAGUAAUUCUAGAGCUAAACGUCAACAAGCCCCACUUUCGGGGGGGCGCAUUUAUAGAUAAAAGGGCUGCGCGAGACCGCUCUCUCCGCUUGAUAUCGAUGAUUCAUGAUCACUUUACGGAUCGCACGGCCCUCGUGCCGGCGACUCAUUUAAAAUUUCUGCCCUAAUCAACUUUCGAUGGUAGGAUAGGGGCCGCCCCCAUGGGGUGAACGGGUGAUGGAGAAUUAGGGUUCGAUUCCGGAGAGGGAGCCUGAGAAACGGCUACCACACCAAGGAAAGGCAGCAGGCGCAAUUACCCCAAUCCUGACAACGGGGAGGUAGUGACAUAAAUUACAAUGCCCGGCGCUUAGUGUCUGGUAAUUAGAAUGAGUACAAUCUAAAAUCUAAAAUCGCUUAACGAGGAUCCAUUGAGGGCAAGUCUGGUGCCAGCAGCCGCGGUAAUUCCACCACCCGCUCCAAUAGCGUAUAUUUAAGUUGUUUCAUUAAAAGCUCGUAUUGACCUUGGCCGGGUCGGCCGGUCCGCCUCACGGCGAGAACCGACUACUUACCCUUUCUGCCGGCGAUGCGCUCCUGGCCUAAUUGGCCCGGGUCGUGCCUCCGGCGCUGUUACUUUGAAGAAUUAGAGUGCUCAAAGCAGGCCAUCUCUCCCUGAUACAUUAGCAUGGGAUACCUCAUAGGAUUUCCUGGUCCUACUUGUGUUGGCCUUGGGAUCGAAGUAAUGAUUAAUAUGGACAGUCGGGGGCAUCUCUUAUUUCAUAGUCAUGAGGUGAAAUUCUGGAUUUAUGAAAGCGAACAACUACGAAACGCAUUUGCCAAGGAUGUAUUCAUUAAAUCAAGAUGAAAGUUGGGGGCUCGAAGACCUAUCAGAUACCGGCCUAAGUCUCAACCAUAACAUGCGACCGGGAUCGGCGGAUGUUGCUUAUGGACUCCCGCCGGCACUUUAGAAAUCAAGUCUUUGGGUUCCGGGGAGUAUGGUCGAAGGCUGAAAUUAAAGGAUUGACCGGAAGGGCACCACCAAGGCUUGUCGCCGCGCUUAAUUUGACUCACACGGGGAACCUUACCAUGCCGACAUAGCAAGGAUUGACAGACUGAGGCUUCUUUCUUGAUUCUAUGGGUGGUGGUGCAUGGCCGUUCUUAGUUGGGGUGGAGCGUUGUCUGGUUAAUUCCGUUAACGAAUUUUCCGUUAACGAACGAAACCCUCAGCCUGCUAACUAGCUAUUCGGAGCCAUCCCUCCACAGGCUAGCUUCUUAGAGGCUAUGGCCGUUAUGCCACGGAAGUUUGAGGCAAUAACGGUUCUGUGAGCCUUAGAUGUUCUCUGGGCCGCACUCGCGCUACACUGAUGUAAUCCAACGAGUAUAUAAGCCCUUGGCCGACAGGCCCGGGUAAUCUUGGGAAAUUUCAUCAAUCAUGAUAUGGAUAGAUCAUUGCAAUUGUUGGUCUUCAACGAGGAAUGCCUAUUAAGCUCGGUCCAUCCAGCUCGCGUUUGACUCGUCCCUUUCCCUGCCUUAACACCCCCAGGUGUUAUUAUCACCAUUGGCAGUGGGUUUAAGCUCAAACAUGAUAGAUUAGGUGUACUGG